rnacentral:rRNA from 1 species
AUUGAACGCUGGCGGCAUGCUUUACACAUGCAAGUCGAACGGCAGCGCGGGCUUCGGCCUGGCGGCGAGUGGCGAACGGGUGAGUAAUGCAUCGGAACGUGCCCAGUAGUGGGGGAUAGCCCGGCGAAAGCCGGAUUAAUACCGCAUACGACCUGAGGGUGAAAGCGGGGGACCGAAAGGCCUCGCGCUAUUGGAGCGGCCGAUGUCGGAUUAGCUAGUUGGUGGGGUAAAGGCUUACCAAGGCGACGAUCCGUAGCUGGUCUGAGAGGACGACCAGCCACACUGGGACUGGGACGCGGCCCAGGCUCCUACGGGAGGCAGCAGUGGGGAAUUUUGGACAAUGGGGGCAACCCUGAUCCAGCCAUGCCGCGUGCGGGAAGAAGGCCUUCGGGUUGUAAACCGCUUUUGUUCGGGAAGAAAUCCUCUGGGCUAAUACCCCGGGGGGAUGACGGUACCGGAAGAAUAAGCACCGGCUAACUACGUG